UUCCCUGAUGAUUGCAUGGACCUCGUCCAUUCCUUCUUCCUCCUCUGUUCGGCUGGUCCUCCUCUCGUCUCCUCCUCGAUCCGUCCACCUUCUCUUCCUCCGGCAAUUGUCGCCGUCGGCCGCCACGCUAACUAAGAUUUUCAGAGUUCCUGUUGCUACCUCGCCGUCACCGCCACCGUUGGUCCACGGCUGGUCUUGUAUUGCUCCUACCGGUGC
rnacentral:lncRNA from 1 species